AGCAGCCGCGGUAAUUCCAGCUCCAAUAGCGUAUAUUAAAGUUGUUGCAGUUAAAAAGCUCGUAGUUGAAUUUCGGGGUCAGUAGGUUGGUCAUGCCACUGGUAUGUACUGGCCUCACUGAUUCCUCCUUCCUGAUGAGCCGUAAUGCCAUUAAUUUGGUGUUGCGAGGAAUCUGGACUGUUACUUUGAAAAAAUUAGAGUGUUUAAAGCAGGCUAACGCUUGAAUACAUUAGCAUGGAAUAAUGAAAUAGGACGUUCGAUCUUAUUUUGUUGGUUUCUAAGAUUGACGUAAUGAUUAAUAGGGAUAGUUGGGGGCAUUAGUAUUCAAUUGUCAGAGGUGAAAUUCUUGGAUUUAUUGAAGACUAACUACUGCGAAAGCAUUUGCCAAGGAUGUUUCAUUAAUCAAGAACGAAAGUUAGGGAUCGAAGACGAUCAGAUACCGUCGUAGUCUUAACCAUAAACUAUGCCGACUAGGGAUCGGAUGAUGUUAAUUUUAAUGAUCAUUC
rnacentral:rRNA from 1 species